rnacentral:rRNA from 1 species
CCUACGGGUGGCAGCAGUGGGGAAUAUUGCACAAUGGGGGAAACCCUGAUGCAGCGACGCCGCGUGGGUGACGAAGUAUUUCGGUAUGUAAAGCCCUAUCAGCAGGGAAGAAGAUGACAGUACCUGACCAAGAAGCCCCGGCUAACUACGUGCCAGCAGCCGCGGUAAUACGUAGGGGGCAAGCGUUAUCCGGAUUUACUGGGUGGAAAGGGAGCGUAGGUGGCAUGGCAAGCCAGAAGUGAAAACCCGGGGCUUAACCCCGCGGAUUGCUUUUGGAACUGUCAGGCUGGAGUGCAGGAGGGGCAGGCGGAAUUCCUGGUGUAGCGGUGAAAUGCGUAGAUAUCAGGAGGAACACCGGUGGCGAAGGCGGCCUGCUGGACUGUAACUGACACUGAGGCUCGAAAGCGUGGGGAGCAAACAGGAUUAGAUACCCGAGUAGUC